rnacentral:rRNA from 1 species
CAGCCGCCGCGGGAACACGAAGGGUGCAAGCGUUACUCGGAAUUACUGGGCGUAAAGCGUGCGUAGGUGGUGGUUUAAGUCCGUUGUGAAAGCCCUGGGCUCAACCUGGGAAUUGCAGUGGAUACUGGGUCACUAGAGUGUGGUAGAGGAUAGUGGAAUUUCCGGUGUAGCAGUGAAAUGCGUAGAGAUCGGAAGGAACAUCUGUGGCGAAGGCGACUAUCUGGGCCAACACUGACACUGAGGCACGAAAGCGUGGGGAGCAAACAGGAUUAGAUACCCCCGUAGUCCCUGUCUCUUAUAA